AAAAAAAAGGAAUAUUAGCUCACAUCGAUAUAACUUGAGUGUUAUUUGCAUCUUUCCUCGUCGAUGACAAGGACACAACCAUUUUCAACCUUGUCUUCUUUCCCGUGUUUCACCGAGCAAUAGGCACGGAGGCGGAAAGUACGACUUGAGACGAGUCAGAGUAACUAUGACAAAAAAAGACAGUUUCA
rnacentral:ribozyme from 17 species